rnacentral:rRNA from 1 species
AGAGUUUGAUCCUGGCUCAGGAUGAACGCUGGCGGCGUGCCUAAUACAUGCAAGUCGAGCGAACCACUUCGGUGGGAAGCGGCGAACGGGUGAGUAACACGUAGGUGAUCUGCCCAUCAGACGGGGACAACGAUUGGAAACGAUCGCUAAUACCGGAUAGGACGAAAGUUUAAAGAUGCUCCUGGCAUCACUGAUGGAUGAGCCUGCGGCGCAUUAGCUAGUUGGUGGGGUAAAGGCCUACCAAGGCGACGAUGCGUAGCCGACCUGAGAGGGUGAACGGCCACACUGGGACUGAGACACGGCCCAGACUCCUACGGGAGGCAGCAGUAGGGAAUCUUCGGCAAUGGGCGAAAGCCUGACCGAGCAACGCCGCGUGAAUGAAGAAGGCCUUCGGGUUGUAAAAUUCUGUUAUAAGGGAAGAAAGGUGAUAGGAGGAAAUGACUAUCAAUUGACGGUACCUCAUGAGAAAGCCACGGCUAACUACGUG